rnacentral:siRNA from 1 species
AUGAGGAAGAGAUGGGGUGAU